UGUAAACUUGUACUCUAAUUGAUGUCGUCCUUAAGUGUUUAUUAUUAAUUUACUUUUAGUUUUUGGGUAAAAUUAGAGAUUUUGUUAAUUGUUAUUUGAGGACAAAAAAUUUAGUGAGCAAGCCAGAUUAGUACCUGGUUAGAUAAAAGUUAAAAGAGCAGGAGUAAGGUUAUAUUUAAACUGUAAGAAUAUUGGCAGGUUUUUAAAUUAUCUUUGGAGGUUGAAUAGUAAUUGAGAGCCCUCAUUAUCUACUUUUAUUUUAGGCGCAUGUAUGAUCGUUUAUUUUAUUCUUGAGGAUUGUAAUUUUAGUUUAUAACUGUAAAAAUAGAUAUAUACUUGGUCUAUAUUAAAGUUUAUUUUGACCUACAAUAUUAUAUUUUUUGGACAAUAUUC
rnacentral:rRNA from 1 species